GACAGAGGAUGCAAGCGUUAUCCGGAAUGAUUGGGCGUAAAGCGUCUGUAGGUGGCUUUUUAAGUCUGCCGUCAAAUCCCGGGGCUUAACCCUGGACAGGCGGUGGAAACUACCAAGCUGGAGUACGGUAGGGGCAGGGGGAAUUUCCGGUGGAGCGGUGAAAUGCGUAGAGAUCGGAAAGAACACCAACGGCGAAAGCACUCUGCUGGGCCGACACUGACACUGAGAGACGAAAGCUAGGGGAGCGAAUGGG
rnacentral:rRNA from 1 species